GGGGAAUUUUGGACAAUGGGCGAAAGCCUGAUCCAGCAAUGCCGCGUGUGUGAAGAAGGCCUUCGGGUUGUAAAGCACUUUUGUCCGGAAAGAAAUCCUUGGCUCUAAUACAGUCGGGGGAUGACGGUACCGGAAGAAUAAGCACCGGCUAACUACGUGCCAGCAGCCGCGGUAAUACGUAGGGUGCAAGCGUUAAUCGGAAUUACUGGGCGUAAAGCGUGCGCAGGCGGUUUGCUAAGACCGAUGUGAAAUCCCCGGGCUCAACCUGGGAACUGCAUUGGUGACUGGCAGGCUAGAGUAUGGCAGAGGGGGGUAGAAUUCCACGUGUAGCAGUGAAAUGCGUAGAGAUGUGGAGGAAUACCGAUGGCGAAGGCAGCCCCCUGGGCCAAUACUGACGCUCAUGCACGAAAGCGUGGGGAGCAAAACAGGAUUAGAUACCCUGGUAGUCCACGCCCUAAACGAUGUCAACUAGUUGUUGGGGAUUCAUUUCCUUAGUAACGUAGCUAAUGCGUGAAGUUGACCGCCUGGGGAGUACGGUCGCAAGAUUAAAA
rnacentral:rRNA from 1 species